AUGAACGCUGGCGGCGUGCCUUAGGCAUGCAAGUCGAACGGGAGCAGCAAUGCUCCAGUGGCAGACGGGUGAGUAACGCGUAGGAAUCUACCUCUGGGUAGGGCAUAGCUGGCCGAAAGGUCAGGUAAUUCCCUAUAGUUCCCGCAAGGGUAAAGGACUUAACGGUCCGCCGAGAGAGGAGCCUGCGUCCUAUCAGCUAGUUGGUGAGGUAAUGGCUUACCAAGGCGAUGACGGGUAGCUGGACUGAGAGGUCGAUCAGCCACAACUGCACUGAGACACGGGCAGUACACCUACGGGUGGCAGCAACCAGGAAUAUUGCGCAAUGGACGAAAGUCUGACGCAGCGACGCCGCGUGGAGGAAGACGGCCUUAGGGUUGUAAACUCCUUUUGCCAAGCCGUUCACAGCUUGGAGAAUAAGCCUCUACUAACUACGUGCCAGAAGUCUCGGUAAUACGUAGGAGGCAAGCGUUAUCCGGAUUUACUGGGCGUAAAGUGUGCGUAGGCGGACCGUAAAGUCUUCACUUAAAGACCAAGGCUUACCCUUGGGAGUGGUGAGGAUACUCACGGACUAGAGGAUUGAUAGGGCAACUGGAACAGUACGUGUAGCAGUGAAAUGCGUUGAUAUGUACUGGAACACCAAGGGCGAAGGCAGGUUGCUGGGUUUUUCCUGACGCUGAGGCACGAAAGCUAGGGUAGCGAAACAGAUUAGAUACCUGUGUAGUCCUAGCCGUAAACGAUGUCCGCUAACUCUUCGUUUCGCGGAGCGAAACGAACAAAUAACAGAUAACUCAUAACUGAUAACAAAAUUGUUUCAAGUUAUAAGUUAUAAACUUGCGAAGCAAGUGAGUUAUUAGUUCGCGCGCUGCGCGAAGCGAGGGGUUCAAGCUAACGCAUUAAGCGGACCGCCUGGGAGUACGACCGCAAGGUUAAAACUCAAAGGAAUUGACGGGGACCCGCACAACUGGUGGAGCGUGUGGUUUAAUUCGAGACAAAGCGAAACACCUUACCAGGGCUUGACAUGCUACCGUUUUAUACCUUUUGAAAGAUUGGUAGAUCCGUAAGGAUGGUAGCACAGGUGAUGCAUGGCUGUCGUCAGCUCGUGUCGUGAGAUGUUCCCUUAAGUGGGGAAACGAGCGCAACCCCCGCGAAAUGUUACAUAUUCAUUUCGGACGGUCCCGAUCAUAUCGGGAAGGAAGGAGGGGAAGACGUCAAGUCAGCACGUCCCUUAUGCCCUGGGUUACACACACCCUACAAUGGCGAAGAACAAAGAGCAGCAAGUACGCGAGUGCAAGCAAAUCUCAGAAAUUUCGCCUCAGUUCAGAUUGCAGUCUGCAACCCGACUGCAUGAAGGAGGAAUCAGUAGUAAUCGCGGAUCAGAAGGCCGCGGUGAAUACGUUCUCGGGUCUUGUACACACCGCCCGUCAAGGCAGCAAAGUUGGGAGCGGAUGAAUCAUACCUAUAUGGCGUGAGAGUCCGAGCUUAGCGAUGAAGCUU
rnacentral:rRNA from 1 species